UCAGGACGAACGCUGGCGGCGUGCCUAACACAUGCAAGUCGAACGGAGUUAUUAUGAAGGAUCCCUUCGGGGUGACGGACUUUAACUUAGUGGCGGACGGGUGAGUAACGCGUGAGUAACCUGCCUCUGAGAGGGGAAUAACGUUCUGAAAAGAACGCUAAUACCGCAUAACAUAUUGGAUCCGCAUGGAUAUGAUAUCAAAGAUUUUAUCGCUCAGAGAUGGACUCGCGUCCGAUUAGCUUGUUGGCGGGUAACGGCCCACCAAGGCGACGAUCGGUAGCCGGACUGAGAGGUUGAACGGCCACAUUGGGACUGAGACACGGCCCAGACUCCUACGGGAGGCAGCAGUGGGGGAUAUUGCGCAAUGGGGGGCCAACCCUGACGCAGCAACGCCGCGUGAAGGAAGACGGUUUUCGGAUUGUAAACUUCUUUUGUCAGGGACGAAAAAUGACGGUACCUGACGAAUAAGCUCCGGCUAACUACGUGCCAGCCGCCGC
rnacentral:rRNA from 1 species